rnacentral:SRP_RNA from 1 species
UGUUGGUUCUCCCGCAACGCUACACUGUUUACCAGGUCAGGUCCGGAAGGAAGCAGCCAAGGCAGAUGACGCGUGUGCCGGGAUGUAGCUGGCAGGG